rnacentral:rRNA from 1 species
GAUAAACGCUAGCGGCAGGCUUAACACAUGCAAGUCGAGGGGCAGCAUAGAUUGUAGCAAUACAAUUGGUGGCGACCGGCGCACGGGUGCGUAACGCGUAUGCAACCUACCCGGCACAGGGGGAUAAUUCGGAGAAAUCUGGGCUAAUACCCCAUAACAUAUGGAGCGGCAUCGGUUCAUGUUGAAAUUUUCGGAGGUGACGGAUGGGCAUGCGUAGCAUUAGCUUGUUGGUGAGGUAACGGCUCACCAAGGAGACGAUGCUUAGGGGGACUGAGAGGUUUUCCCCCCACACUGGUACUGAGACACGGACCAGACUCCUACGGGAGGCAGCAGUGAGUAAUAUUAGUCAAUGGGCGCAAGCCUGAACCAGCCAUGCCGCGUGCAGGAUGACGGCUCUAUGAGUUGUAAACUGCUUUUGUACGAGGGUAAAGUGGGUUACGUGUAACCUUUUGAAAGUAUCGUACGAAUAAGGAUCGGCUAACUCCGUGCCAGCCGCCGCAGUAA